AUUGAACGCUGGCGGCAUGCCUUACACAUGCAAGUCGAACGGCAGCACGGGAGCAAUCCUGGUGGCGAGUGGCGAACGGGUGAGUAAAGUAUCGGAACGUGCCCAGUCGUGGGGGAUAACGUAGCGAAAGUUACGCUAAUCCCGCAUACGAUCUAUGGAUGAAAGCGGGGGAUCGCAAGAAAACGAGCGACUGGAGCGGCCGAUAUAAGAUUAGGUAGUUGGUGGGGUAAAGGCCUACCAAGCCGACGAUCUGUAGCUGGUCUGAGAGGACGACCAGCCACACUGGGACUGAGACACGGCCCAGACUCCUACGGGAGGCAGCAGUGGGGAAUUUUGGACAAUGGGCGAAUGCCUGAUCCAGCCAUGCCGCGUGCAGGAUGAAGGCCUUCGGGUUGUAAACUGCUUUUGUACGGAACGAAAAGGACUGCCCUAAUACGGUGGUCCCAUGACGGUACCGUAAGAAUAAGCACCGGCUAACUACGUGCCAGCCGCCGCAGUAA
rnacentral:rRNA from 1 species